rnacentral:tRNA from 4 species
GGUCGCAUGGUCCAGUUGGUUAGGACGCCUGCCUGUCACGCAGGAGAUCGCGGGUUCGAGCCCCGCUGCGACCGCUA